GGACAGAGGUUCUCCGGCGCGCGGUGAGCUGUUGUGCAGUUGGUCAGUCGCCGGGCAGCCACAAUCCCAUAUCUAAAAGCUAAGCGGUGGGGGAGGAUUUGGCCGCUUCUGUGAAUGACACGUGGAGUUGGGGAGUUAUAUUGGGCUGCCAUAUGCAUGAAAGAGAAAGAUGAGAGUUGGGCCUUCCAUGAUGACUCCAAAAAUUUAAGAAGUGGGCUGAGAUUUAAUUUAUAGGUCCACACAUGUACACUUUUAAUUUCUUGAAUUCCAUUUCAUAGUAUUAGAGAUGUAUAACGAUAGUUAGACUCGUAAAAUCAGAAAGUUUGGUUCCGUUAGUGUGA